AGCGGUGCUGAAAGCCCGCCUGCUGCCGGGCCGGAGGUGCGUGAGGGGAGCCGCCGAUGUGCCUCCAUCUUCGCAGGGCCCCUCACGGCUCACUGAGCUCCCUGCCCGCGGGCGGUUGGCGCCCACGUUGCCUCCUCUGAGGGUUUUUGGUGAUGCUUUCCUGCGCGUUUCACCUCUUUCUCGCGUCGUUCCCACGCGAGGAGGUCAAAGCCCUUUGGAGUGAUGGCUAAGAAGGGCCGAGCAGGGCCUGGCAGCGCUGGGUGCUGCGGUGAGAUGAAGGAGCAGCACGAGCCCUGGCAGCAGGGCUGAUUUCAGGCAGCUCUCAGCGGUAUCAGCUCAGCUGCCCUAGCAGUUACAGAAGUCAGAAUGAGACACAAGAAAAUUCUCCAGUCAUCACUGCCCAUCAGGUAAUAUACAUCUUCCCAUCCAGUGCUGCUCCAGCAUGUGCAUAUACCUGCAUCACCAUGUGGGAAAGCAAGAGUUUGACGUCUGUGUUUAUGUAUUUCUCCCAGCUUCAAAGUAUGGAAUAGACAUUAAAGAAGUGACAUUCUUCAUGAAUUAUGCAGAUAUUAACAUCUGGAAGGAUCUUCUAUUUUUUUAUAGACAACUCCUUUCAAGGUGAUUAUGUUGAAAGUGUGAAUUUCUAAAUUACCCCAGAAUUUCCAAAACUUCCAGAACUCCCAUGGGUUGUUCUUUCUUACUAUUUCUUUAUUAGAAACUCAUCCAUAUAAUUACUUUUCUCCCUUGCCUACUUGGAAGUCCGUGAACUAAAUAGUAUACAGAAACUGAUGUACCCUCACUCAGAGGGUGGUAAGGCACUGGAUCAGGCUGCCCAGAGAAGCUGUGGAUGCUCCAUCCCUGGAGGCUGGAUAGGGGUUGGGCAACCUGAUCUAGUAUCUGAUCUAGUGCCUGAUUUAGUAGUUGGCAAGCCUGCCCACGGCAGGAGGUGUUGGAACUAGAUGAUCUUUAAGAUCCCUCAAACCUGAGCCAUUCUGUGAUCCUAUGGUAUCUUCCUAGUAUUUGAUGAUUUCUUCUAAUUGGGAAUAAAGCAUGCUUAUUAGGACUGUAGAUAAGAAGCUUGUACUAUUCAUGGUUUACCUAUCCCAGGAGGAAUGGGAAGUUCCUUGACUUACAUGUUCAAUUUGAAAUAAUUUUAAGGAUUAAUACAACAGAGGUGCAGGGGAAAACAGGAAGAAAACAAGAAAAAUAAGCAUUAAACCUCAAAAUUAAAGUUAUACGUUAUUAUUAGUCUUUACUGGUAUGUUUAUCUCAAAUGCAGAUGCUACUGCUUCCCAUGCAAGUAUCAGCAAAAUGAAACCAAUGCAUGAGAAAAGCACCUAAAAAGAUGAAAUUAGGAACUGGGGAACUCUAUCAGUGUGUGUGGCUAAUGCACU